AUUUGCUAGUAUUUCUUUUAAAAAAUUAUAAAUUUGUUAUUUGGACUGAAAAGUGAACAAAAUUCCUUUUCCAUUUCUUACCUCAAAAACCACUUAUUUUCGGUUAUAACUUCGAAUUUAGGUGGUGACAAUUAUAGGUAGCACUUUCAGUAUAUUUUCCUAAUAUUGACAUAUUGGGUCAAUAAUUGGAAGGAAUGUUUUUUGUUUUCAUGUUAAUAUUUUUGCUUUUUCCGGUAGUAUAUCCUAUAAUGAUCAUGUUAACACUAUUUAAUCAUUUAUCCCACACGAAUUUCCAAUUCAUGACACAGUGUCAAUACAGUGAAAUCCAAUUAUCGACAUAGUGUCAGUAAUCUAUUUCCCUAUUAUUGACAUGUCUAUAUAUAGGCAAAGUGUCAAUAAUUAGUCUCUUAAACGAUAAAUAUUUUUAUGGGAGCUUACUAUACUAUGACACUCAAAAAAUAACUAUUCCUGCUUCACUUCUCACUGCCUUCCUGCAACCUAUACGAAGUCGUCUGACUAUCAGUGGCAGGUGGCCUGCCAAUUGCUCUACGUCCACCUGUCAUAAUUUUGCCUGUCCAAAAGUGUCCUGCACACUUCCCACCCAGCUGAAUCCACCUCGUAAUCUAUUAAAACUGGGAUUCUGACCCGGCGGGUAAACAAUGAUCAAGAUAGGUGUUAAGAUUCACAAAAUUGAAUGAUAUCCAGCGGUAUCGUUCGUUUCGAUUGGGACACUGGACAUUACCUUAGUCUUGAACAUGUUUAUCUA